CCCUUAGAGGUCCUGGGCCGCACGCGUACUACAAUGAUGCAUUCAAUAAGUCUCUGAGUCGAAAGACUUGGGUAAUCUUUUCAAAGUGUAUCGUGUUUGGGAUAGACUCUUGUAAUUAUGAGUCUUGAACGAGGAAUUCCUAGUAAGUAUGAGUCAUCAUCUCAUGCUGAUUAAGUCCCUGCCCUUUGUACACACCGCCCGUCACUCCUACCGAUUCGAGUGGUUCGACAAAUUCUCCGGAUGUUGCUUCGUGCGACAGAAGUUGUGUAAGUCAUACCACUUAGAGGAAGGGUAAGGCGUAACA
rnacentral:rRNA from 1 species